AAACUUUCAACAACGGAUCUCUUGGUUCUCGCAUCGAUGAAGAGCGCAGCGAAAUGCGAUACCUAGUGUGAAUUGCAGCCAUCGUGAAUCAUCGAGUUCUUGAACGCACAUUGCGCCCCUCGGCAUUCCGGGGGGCAUGCCUGUUUGAGCG
rnacentral:rRNA from 1 species